GGUCCUAUAGCUCAGUUGGUUAGAGUAGCUGACUCAUAAUCAGUUGGUCCCAGGUUCGAGUCCUGGUGGGACCACCC
rnacentral:tRNA from 1 species